rnacentral:snoRNA from 1 species
UGGCCUAAUGGUGACAGCAUGUCAUGAACCAAGGAUUAUGAUUAAUCUAGUUCUGCGUAUCUGAAGUUCUCA